rnacentral:rRNA from 1 species
GGGUAACCUGCCCUAUCGUUUUGAAUAACCUCGGGAAACUGAGAACAAUACAUCAUAGUCCACUACGCCUGGAACGGUGAGUGGAUGAAGGUAGGAUGGGCCUGCGGCGUAUCAGGUUGUAGGGGGUGUAAUGGACCUCCUAGCCAUCGACGCGUACGGGUGUUGGGAGACAUAGCCCGGAGAUGGAUUCUGAGACACGAAUCCAGGCCCUACGGGGCGCGGCAGUUACGAAAACUUGGCAAUGCGGGAAACCGUGACCAGGGAACUCCAAGUGAGUCUCUUUUAGGGGCUCUUUUCUUGACUCUAAAACGGUCUUGGAAUAAGGGGUGGGUAAGGACGGUGCCAGCCGCCGCGGUAAUACCGGCGCCUCAAGUGGUCGUCGCUUUUAUUGGGCCUAAAACGUCCGUAGCCGGUUUGGUACAUUCGUGGGUAAAUCAGCUCGCUCAACGAGUUGAAUUCUGCGAGGACGGCCAGACUAGGGACCGGGAGAGGUGUGGGGAACUCUCAGGGUAGGGGUACAAUCCUGUCAUCCUGAGAGGACCACCUGUUGCGAAGGCGCCACACUAGAACGGAUCCGACGGUCAGGGACGAAGCCUAGGGGCACGAACCGGAUUAGAUACCCGGGUAGUCCUAGGUGUAAACGCUGUGGACUUGGUGUUGGGGAAGCCCAGAGCUUUCCCAGUGCCGUAGCGAAGGUGUUGAGUCCACUGCCUGGGGAGUACGGUCGCAAGGCUGAAACUU